AGGCUCGUAGCUCAGUCUGGUUAGAGCGCUACCUUGACACGGUAGAGGUCGGCGGUUCGAGUCCGCUCGAGCCUACCA
rnacentral:tRNA from 1 species